CCUGUCCAAUAUAACAUCAACAGUAAAUAACUAAACCAAACUAAAAUUUUAGAACAAGAAAGGGAGGGGAAGAAAGAUUAACCUGAUCAACAGCUACAACAGAUCCUAUGCCAUUGAACCAGUAGGAUUCCCUCCUGAGAAUCUUCACCUGUAUAUUGAAAGGCAUUUAAACAUCUUUUUUUAUCUUAAUUGCUAGACUAUUUGCUUGUAAGAUGUAUUCCUUUUGUCCACUUUCUUAUAGAGUAUACUCAUUCACCAAAGAAAGUUCGAAUGGAAAUGAAAACUUGAUUGGAAACAAGGUAACCAAAAGCUCAAUAAAUCCUCCUCCUCCUCCUCCUCCUC
rnacentral:misc_RNA from 1 species